rnacentral:misc_RNA from 1 species
UUUCUAAGGAUGAUCAAGAAUUGGAACUCUUUAUCAAUAAAGAAUAUUCCUUUUUGAUCUCAUUAGACAUACAGGUCUUAAACAAUUUCGUUUAAGCCUUUGCAUAUGACACCACUCUUUAUGAACCCCUUCUUCAAAGAGAGGUUCCUCUUUGAUAAAAAGAGAUAGCCAACUUGAUGAGAAAGUUCUCCUAAGAGCCAAGUGUUCAUAUGUUUAAGUUAUACAAGCAGGCUAGCCGUCUUCGUUUCUCUUUCUUCAGAUGAUGAUCCCAAGCCUUCUGGCGAUCUCUUAAGUAUUAAGGUUCCCUCAUUUUUAAAGGGUGCUUUAAGGAAAAGAGCUCUAAAAAGCUUUUGUGUUAAGAGUAUGCCGGGGAAGGUUUUCCGGUUUAUCCCGGAGGGCUUGUAGCUCAGUUGGUUAGAGCGCGCGCUUGAUAAGCGUGAGGUCGGAGGUUCAAGUCCUCCCAGGCCCACCAAUCACUCUAUCAAUUUCAUAAAGCGCUGGCGGACUUACUUAUAGGCAAGAAGUCUAUAAAGCGAUAAAGCCUAUAAAUUUGUAAGAAACUUACAUAACUUUCUGGGAAAGGGCCUUAAGUGCACUUGUAAAAGGACUGAAGAGUGAUGUGAUCACUUAAAAUGAGGUUACUCUUUGAGAGGUCCGUAGAGAAAAGACAUUUGUUUUGGCAAGGUGUUUACAAAGGGCAUUAAGAGAGGAGCUUUACUGUUUGCUUUCAGCAAUUGAGAGUCAAAGCUCUUUAAAGGUAAAGUAUCCCAUUUAAAUUGGUCUUUCCUGUAAGUCUUCUUAUUUUGAGAGUUUGGAAUGGGUUAUGCUAUUUUAGGGGCCGUAGCUCAGCUGGGAGAGCACCUGCUUUGCAAGCAGGGGGUCGUCGGUUCGAUCCCGUCCGGCU